AUAUAUUUAGUAUAAAUUUUAUUACUUUUAUUUUCCAAAUAAAAAAUUUAUUAUAAUAAUAAAAUAUAUA
rnacentral:tRNA from 1 species